rnacentral:rRNA from 1 species
CCUACGGGAGGCAGCAGUGAGGAAUAUUGGUCAAUGGGCGCGAGCCUGAACCAGCCAAGUAGCGUGAAGGAUGACUGCCCUACGGGUUGUAAACUUCUUUUAUAAAGGAAUAAAGUGAGGCACGUGUGCCUUUUUGUCUGUACUUUAUGAAUAAGGAUAGGCUCACUCCGUGCCAGCAGCCGCGGUAAUACGGAGGAUCCGAGCGUUAUCCGGAUGUAUUGGGUGUAAAGGGAGCGUAGAUGGGUUGUUAAGUCAGUUGUGAAAGUUUGCGGCUCAACCGUAAAAGUGCAAUUGAUACUGGCAGUCUUGAGUACAGGAGAGGUAGGCGGAAUUCGUGGUGUAGCGGUGAAAUGCUUAGAUAUCACGAAGAACUCCGAUGGCGAAGGCAGCUUACUAGACUGCCACUGACAUUGAUGCUCGAAAGUGUGGGUAUCAAACAGGAUUAGAUACCCGAGUAGUC